CAGAGAUUCAUAAUACUCUAUAUUAGAAAUACGUUUUUACAGACAGGCUUCAAGAUGAUGGAUGCAUUGUCUUUCGUGACCCAGCUGAGAGACUUGGGUUCAGAACCCCGGAAUUGAGAAGCUUUUGUACAGGAUCAAGGGUGCCUUCCUGGUUUGGUUUUGUUCUUGGACCAUUAAGAUUCACAAGUUCUGUUCUAUACCUUGCAGACCCUUUUAUCCAAGGCGACUUACAGACGAGGGUGUGUGACCUAUGCAUCAGCUGCAUUCACUUACAACGUCUCACCCGAAAGACGGAGCACAAAGAGGUUAAGUGACUUGCUCAGGGUCAAACAGUGAGUGAACCGGGGACCUCCUGAUUACAAGCCCUUUUCUUUAACCUCUGGACCACACAGCCUCUCCUUAAAAACACUGGGGGUGACACCGAUCCUACUGUAAUAGUAAUCCAAAAUAUGUGAUGUGUUUUUUUCCCCCCCUCACAGACCGACGUCCUAGCGCAUUCAUAAAUAUUGACACAUGCUUCUAAAGAGAAAGGCAGCAUUUUUACGUAACUGGCACCAAGGCGCCUAACCCCGAAAAAAACUGUAUACACUUCAUUUCUUUUGUCGCAUUUGCAGUCUGGAGCCCUGCAAAAAAAAUAAAAAAUUCUUGGAAACAAGUUUUUCAAAAGUUUGGA